GGCCGGGGUGGGCCUGGCAGAGGAAGAGCGGUGUUGGAAGCUGCUGUAGUGCGUCCCCGGGGUGAGCGGGCACCAGGUGACGUAGGAUCUGCUGGAGAUGUAGCACCCUUGGCUGUAAGACCUAGACGUGGAGAGGUGGUGCUCACACUCAGAGUGCCUUUCCAGUCACCCCUGGAGGCAGACAUGGCUCGCAGAUCUCUGCUCCCAGAUGUCCAACGCCACCAAGGAUUGAUUCGGAAGGAAUUUGCAGUGAAUGGCAGUGACCUGCUUGUUAGAUGGACUGCUGACGACCUGGCUUUCAUCCGACUGUCCGUGAACCAGUUCCUCGAUCAGCUUUCCGUGGUGAUUCGGAACAUUCGGCGCCUUGGGCACCCACCUCGCCAAAGCCGAAGCUGAGGAAAGGGGCUG